rnacentral:rRNA from 1 species
AACGAACGCUGGCGGCAUGCCUAACACAUGCAAGUCGAACGGUGCCUUCGGGCACAGUGGCGCACGGGUGAGUAACACGUGGGAACCUGCCUUUCGGUUCGGAACAACGUCUGGAAACGGACGCUAACGCCGGAUACGCCCAUCCAGCGAUGGUUGGGGAAAGUUUACGCCGAGAGAGGGGCCCGCGCCGGAUUAGGUAGUUGGUGGGGUAACGGCCUACCAAGCCGACGAUCCGUAGCUGGUCUGAGAGGAUGAUCAGCCACACUGGGACUGAGACACGGCCCAGACUCCUACGGGAGGCAGCAGUGGGGAAUAUUGGACAAUGGGCGCAAGCCUGAUCCAGCAAUGCCGCGUGAGUGAUGAAGGCCUUAGGGUUGUAAAGCUCUUUCGGACGGAAAGAAAUCGCCGCCUCUAACAUAGGCGGUGGAUGACGGUACCGUAAGAAGAAGCACCGGCUAACUACGUG